UGGGAGGGAGGGGCAGAGGGAGAAAGAGAAUCCUAAGCAGGCUCCACACUCAGUGCAGACCCUGGGAUCAUGGCCUGAGCCGAAAUCAAGAGUCAGAGGCUCAAGGACUGAGCCACCCAGGAGCCCCACAAGGAUUCUUCAAGUGGUGUAAGAUCUAGGGGCACAGAGGGCCACUCACUGCAGGAGAAGACUCUCCCUGUAGAGACCGACUUUGACACCACAGCACAUGGCCGAUGAAAAUGAAGGAGAAACCAGGGUGACACAAUUCUCAUCCGCUACUUACUCUCUUCGCUGUGGAGACGACCAGAAGUGAGCCCUAGGAUUUAAUCAAAACCAUUUCUUUUGUGCAACAUCGCUCUGAAUUCAACCACAUGGGACCUGGCAGGCAAGUGUUGGUAACAGACCCUGCAUCUGUCUCGUGUCCAUCAAUGUCAUGGUUAGCUUGGAAGCUGACAAAGCAUCAUAAGUUUCUUCUCAAUCCAUUUAAAAUGAACCCCAGUUAAAAUAAAAAGUAACACAAAUCAAACAGGUUUUUUUGAAUAUUAAUUCUGUAGGCACACUGUCAGAAUCAUAAAUGAGUUUUGCAUAAGGAGUAAAAUGAAAGAUAACUAAACACUUAUCUUUAGGAAGAAUGUCCACAAAUGGCUAUAUAUGUUACUGUGAAUUGUUCUUAAAAGUAAACCUUCUGAUGUAUUCAAAAUAAUUAAGAGUGGACAAAAAUCUCCCCACACCAAUGCAAUUAUGUACAUGUUCAGUAGGCAAAUAGUCACGCCUUGAGCUCAGAGUCUAGGAUACAACCAUCAGUCAAUCCAUUCUUUGUUCCUUUCCCCCUUGUCUCCAAACUUUCUCUCACUACCUAAAUACCCACAUAGGAUUCCAAAUGGGUCCAAUAGCUCAUCUGGGCAAGGAAUAAUGUCCGGGACAUGCUCGUUAUUGUAUUUUAGGCAUUUGUUGACAAAGAUGUAUUGGGUGGGUUUGUUUUUGUUUUUGUUUUUGUUUUUCUAUCUGGGGAUGUUCCACCUAUCCUGGCAUGGAAGGAAAACUGGGCUGAGGGGGUCCUGCCUCAGCCAGCAGGGUCACCGUCUACUCUGCAGAUGUUGGUGGAGUCUUAAGGAGCAUGAGGUCUUGAGACAGGGAAGAGACCCAGUGGUCUACUUUGCCUUCUAAUCUAAAGCCAAGUGUCUUAUUUUCAAUUAUUCCCAUUAACAUCGUGCAGUCAGCAGCUGGGUGUAAAGCUCAGGACCUGCCCCGAGGGAUGGACAGCACGGUGGCCUGUAAGACCACGGCACCACCUGUGUGUUCAGAUGUCAUCCCUUCCCUCCUGAGAGCCAGGCCACCUGCCAGGCCAGCUGCAGAACCAGUUACUUCUACACCAUAUUUGACAUGGACAUAAGACAUGGUACUUUUCGUGACAGGAGGAAUGUCCACACAAGUUAUCAUCCAAACAGGACACUUUUGAAAGAGGCAACUAUUCAUAAUCAUAACAGGUCAACAGAUAUGAAUGGAGGCUGUCCCAGGCACACGGAGACACAUAGCUAUUAGCCAGAGGAACCUUUUCAGGACGCCUACCUCUUCUCUUCAGUAGACUUGCAAUGAAGACAUUCAUAGCUUCCCUGAGGCCCCACCUCUGGAGUUAUACUGCCUGGAAAUAUUUUGAGAAUGUACCUUGGGGCAAAACAGAUUUGUUGAAGAAAAUGUCCUCACAAAUGUGGAGCAAAAACUACAGAAGAAGCCGUCUUCCCCCUUUGCCCUCCCAGUGCGGUCGGAGGAGAUUCUAGAAUUAGAAACGAAACCAAAAAAUGAAAGACCUGAUCUGAGAGCUUAAUUCUCCCCUUCAGGAAACAAACACCCAGCGUGGCCAGUGGGUUCUUUAAAAACAUUCCCCAUCCAUUUUCCACCUUGUGUUCCUUUGGUCUGCAGUUGACUGGCUCUCAUUUCAUUUUUGGAAAAAAGUGAUUGUAUCUCCAGCCUAGAAACUUUGAUACACUGUGCCAUUAUCAAGGAAGUCUCCUACGUGGGGAUUGCACAUCUACCCUGCCAGAGCACGGCGGCAUGUGGUCCCGUAGACAUCAUUUUAUGCUUUCUUCUUGCUUUAUUUGAAAUACGUUUCAUGUACCAUCUCCAACAAAAAUGCAGUCGUUCAACAAGGAGAGAGACAGAGGGCCCUGAGCUGCCCAGGGAGAAGGCCAGGUCUGGGGCCGCAGAGUGGGGAGGAGUGUAAGUAAAGGCCUGGGCAGAGCGGCAAGAAAUAUUUGGCAUUCCUGGCUUCCCACAAAGGGUAGGUCACGGAGAGGGAACAAGCAGUUGGGAUGGAGUAUGUACACCACAACUAUUCUUUCUCAGGCCACAUCCAGGCCACUCUAUCACAGCAACGUCCCCGGUGGGAAGACCCCGAGUUUACUCCGCAGUGAGGGAAAUGCUCCGGGUAAUUACACACGAUGCCUGUCUAUACGCGGGAUGGGGUCAAUGUCUGUGGCAAAGACAGCUGCUGGUUUUGAGGCUGUGUGUUAAAUCCACUUUGGCUAACGACCGCUUAGUGCAUUUAAGGGACGGAGCACUGAGCGUCCCCUUCCACAGGCCCUGGUCAAAGCAAAGCCCACUUCUUCGUGACGUGCCCACAGGUGGUCUGUUUCAGAGGCCUGCCAUCAGCUUCUUGGAUGGGGAUUUUGGAAGAAGAACCACGCUCGCUAUUUCCUGGGUAGUGAAUUAAAGACAUGCCUCUCUUCUCUCUGAAACUUUGGGAAAGAAAAAAAAAAAAAAAAAAAAACCACCGUCAUUCAUAACAACAUAACCACACAUACAUCAAGACAAAAAUAAUCAUUUAGUUGAAAAGAGAUUUUGUCAUCAGCAGGCUUUCUUUCUGCCCACCUCGCUGGGCAGGGUAAUUUGGCCCCUGCAGCCAGAUCUAUAAAAUGCUGCAGUAAGAUGGCUUCACGAGGUUUCUCAGCCACGGGAAUUUCCAGCUACUGGAAAGACCCAAGGCCAGCGUAAGCUCAUUUAUUUUUCUUAAUUUGAGUGUCAGGUUAUAGACUAAAUAGCAGAUGCCUGAUGUUCUCAAGUGCUUGCGAGGCAAAUGUCACGGGACAGGACAACGAAUGGAAGAAUGCAUGGAAAAUGGGACAUCAUGCCCCAGGGUCAGCAGGUGGGCAGACCGCAUGGAAACCUUCCCCUUGGAGUCAUGGAGGUGAAGUUUCCGGGUGAUAAAUCUGAGAAGGUGCCUCCCGUUGCAGGGCUCAGAGCAGCAGGAUGGCCUUCUUGCCCCUUGUACGCUGUGGCCCCGUGGCCCAAGGAGAAGUGGUGGUUUGGAAAUCAUGUUAAGACUUCUCCAUGUGGCAAGAGUCGUUAGGGAGUGUUUUUGUUUUCUUCUUCUGAACAAGUAGUGUCCUAACACAGCGGCCACAUGUUUUGCAUUUCCUGUGACAGUCCUAAUUUCUAAUAUUUUUGUGUGCACAUCCUGAUAAGUAUACCAGGAUCACUUUCGCUCAGCAUUAGGUUCGGAAAACUUGGUGGCAGAAAUCUUAGAGCAUCUGUGUAUUUUACAGGAUGAGCAGAGGAGGAGAGAAGGGAAGGGGAGGCACGGAACCCCUAGUUCAGGACAGGUAACGUGCCAGUAAUCUGUACCGUUGGCAUGUUUGGUUCCCACAGGGGUGGGCAGCAUUGCUCUGGUUUUAAAAAUGAGGAAACCAGCUCAAAGGAGCUCGGCAGCUCACCCAAGGUGGCUGGCUGAGUAGCAAUGAUACCAAACUUUGGAUCCAGAUCUGACUCUAACACCCAUGGCUUCUCCACCUUUGGGUAAGUCACUCAUUCUGUUCUCACGAAGCUUCGUCAUUCUUAGGGAGGUGAGAUUUACAAACAUGAAAAUUCUAGAUGAUAAAGAUGGGAUAUAACGUGUUACGUUAUGACAAAUGAUCAGCGCUGUUAAUCAGAUAAGUUACCCAUCUGUUGCAAAAUAUGGCCCACAUGUACGCCCAAGUUAUAUUCUUGGUGGAAUAAAUUUCCAUUUUUUUCAUUAUUUCUUGAGGAUUGCAAAUUCAAUGGAGAACGGAGUGUCUUUCAACCCCAUGUGGGGACUGGAACUCAAAGGGGUCCAGACCCUUCAGUCAAGAUGCUGACUCUGCUCAGGAGGCACCCCCACACCGUCAGUGUCACGUCACGUGCUUGAUGAUGGCACCACGCUGCAGAGAUGGAGACAGUGCCAACGGUUGCCCUCCAACAGGUAGCGAGGGCUGUGAUGCUUUGCAAGGACUGUCGGCAAGGACAAUACGUUCCAUUCCAUAAAUGGUCACCGCGUACCUGCUACAUAGAAAGCACAAUGUUGAAACAUGCCGCCUUCCGGCUUCCAGCUUCUGAGAGGAGACAGAAAACAACUAUCGUAUAAAAAAAAAAAAUGCCAGUUGAUAGAUGCAAAUAAUAUACUCUGGCAAUUCCGAAGGGGAGUGAUAUCCCUGCAUCUAAUGGAGAGAUCAGUGGAAGAGGCAUUUGACAUAGGCCUUGAAGUAUGUGUAGGAGUCCAACGGACGGGUGGGGAAGGAAAAACAGAAGCUAAUAUGCUCAAGGAGGAGAACGGAAUCUGUCUAAACAGUGGUGAGUCAUCUAGCUCGUCUGGGUUGUGGAAUAUAUGAGAGGGAGUAGUAAUAAGGCUUUUUUUCCAGGCUUGCACUUCACCUUGAACUUCAGUCUGUGCAAGAUCCAUCACUUCUGGCUUGUCCUCCUGGGGAGAGCAGACUCUCUCAGUCAGCAGGCGGCCUUGCCAGUGGGCAGGGGGCCGAGCAGCUCUCCUGUGUGUGUGUGGAUGAAGGCCAGGGAUACAGGGGCAGCAGCGGUUUUUCCCCGGUGAGAAACUAGGCCUAGUUGGUGAGAACUAACCUCGCGGGCCUGGGAAGCUGAUCUGGCCCUGUUCCUGAACUCCUGCCUUCUCUGCCCCAAAGCUCUAAGCCCCUGGACAGAAGGCUGGGUCAGCUCUGCUUGCAGCCAGAGGACACUGAGAAGGCCACGUCUCACAGGCGCCCUUCUCUCAGGUCCCCAAAGCCUCUAGGGCGGACAGCCAGCGUCACUUUCCAUCUGGCCCCAGGCAAUGGCUACCUAGCAACUGAGCCAUAGACGUUUGCCCUUAGGAUAUAGUCUGAGUGUUGGUCUGGGGUUUAUUUUUUUUUUAAUUUUUUUUAACGUUUAUUUAUUUUUGAGACAGAGAGAGACAGAGCAUGAACGGGGGAGGAGCAGAGAGAGAGGGAGACACAGAAUCGGAAGCAGGCUCCAGGCUCUGGGCCAUCAGCCCAGAGUCCGACGCGGGGCUCGAACUCACAGACCGUGAGAUCGUGACCUGAGCUGAAGUCGGACGCUUAACCAACUGAGCCACCCAGGCGCCCCUCGGUCUGAGGUUUAAAACCAAACCAAACAAAUUCUGCCCCACUGCAUCUUCAACUGUUGAUUUCUGGUGAAGUGUCUUCUAAAGGCACAAUCAGCCCUCCUGUGAACAGAAGUGAGCAAUUGAAAACCUUGCUCUCUGGGGCACCUGGGUGGCCUAGUUGGUGGAGCGUCUGACUCUUGAUUUCAGCUCAGGUCAUGAUCUCUCAGUUCAUGAGUUCUAGCCCUGCUCUGACAGUGUGGAGCCUCCUUGGGAUUCUCUCUCUUCCUCUCCUCCACUUGGGCACUCUCUCUCUCUCUCUCUCUCUCUCUCACACACACACACACACACACACACACACAUGCGCACAAAAAAUAAAUAAACUCUAAAAAAAAAAAAAACCCACAAAACCUUGCUUUCACUCUUCCCUCAUUUCCUUGCCCUGUGAAAGCAUCUGGGUCUAAAUUGGGCCCCAACUUAUCAGUAUGAUGCUUGCUACCCAUCACAACUGACUGGGGAGUUGUUGGAAAUGCAAAUGCUGGGUUCACCCCAGGCUAAGAGAUAGGUCUGUGGGUUUGAUUUUAUUUUUAUGUAUGUCCCCCAAGUGCCUGGGCAAAUGCCGUAUAACUUUGGAUAUCCACAUUUCCUUUUUGUUGCAUCCUAGAAUUUCCAGCUGGGACGAGUUCUGAACAUCAGCUAACACAGCACUUUCUAAAUUCAUGGGAGCAGGAUGCCAGUCUAGGAACUAGGGAGAUAGCAAGUAGCGUUUCCUCAGUGGAUCUGACUGGAAAUCAACUUCUCUUGGAGCAUAGAUUGGCAUCUCAUGCCUAAAGUACAGCAUGAGAAUGUUGGUCUAGUUCAAUCUCCUCUUUAUGCAUUUGAAGAAGGAGAACUGCUGUGCCCCAUGGCACAUAGCUCUAGACCCGCAGGCUCACUUCCCCUGCCGGUGCUGCUUUGGAAUGAUCCCUUCUAUUUCCCUGACUUGGGUGAGAAGGGCAUGUGUGAACAGAUGAGACACUUGUGGGAAAACCAUGUUCUAGAAGUGUGUGAGGUGAUGUAUGCUGUUUUGACUUGGACUUUUUCUUUAAAAAAAAAAAAAACUUGUUAUUUGAGAGAGAGAGAGAACUCGAGGGAGGGGCAAGGGGAGGGAGAGAGAGAGAGAGAGAGAGAGAGAGAAAGAAUCCCAAGCAGGUUCCAAGCUAUGAGCACAGAGCCCAACGUGGGGCUCGAACUCAUGAAUCGUGAGACCAUCACCUGAACCAAAAUCAAGAGUUGGACACUCAACCAACUGAGCCACCCAGCUGCCCCUAACUUAGACUUUUCCUGAGCAUUGCUUUGAGUCUGUAGCAACCACUGCCAUCAUAGAACAUCUUAGAACCACUGAAGAAAAGAGCAAUUCCAGAUUUGGGGACUUGGUGAGCAAAAAUUCUCUACUUCCUCCCCAGCUUGAGCACGGCUUCUUCAUUGGAGUCCAGGCGCCUACAGCACAGGAAUCGACCUCCAGCCACAGGGACUAUCUAGGCUGCCCUGGGGUCACCAGGGGUAGCAGAAGAGACGAGGACGAGCCGCAGGAGCACAGGAAGCCGGGAGGCUGCCGUGGGAAGCAAGAGGAAGGUGGGAGGGGGGGCGGACAUAAUGUGACUGCUCUGGUCCCUCACUGGCUCACGUACUCACCUGGCACCUGACACCGCAUGCUGCCAGCAAAGUGGAUCCUUCAUCGAAUGAUGCAAGGACUAUGAACUUAUCUGCUUUACGCCCUCAGGACAUCUAAGCGUGGUGCCUUGUUCCUACAAAUUGCUCUGUGAUUAUAUAAUGAUGGACCAAGAGUGACACAGCAGGGAACCUUUCCAUCUGCAGAGGAAAACUGCUCUUACACACACUGUCCCAGGGAAACCACCUUCUCUUCCAGAAGGCAAGCGUCUCUUGCUAUUUGGAACUGCCUGUUGACCCCCAUUCCUCUUCAGCCCAUUAGUCAGAGGUAGAGCUGCUCCUGGAUAACACCCUUACACACCCUUACACACACACACACACACACACACACACACACACACACAAUCUGUUAACUUUUGGAUCUUUGCCCAGAAGCCUCCAGAAGCCCAGACCCAAUCCUGGGUUCCCAGGUCCAAAAUUUUUGUAGCAAGAAAAAGCAUUCUCAUCUGAAACUUUUAAUAGCAUAUAAAUAAAGUGAUCCAGACUCCAAAUGGCCCAGGCAAGGCCACCCCAUAUAGGGCCGUGAAUAUCACAAUAGGUGAUUGUUUUAAAGUGUUUUAAUGAGUCUUAAAACAUCCUACAUAAUAUCAGCCUCCACUCCAGUCCUCCUGACAGGCUCCAGUAAAUAACAUGAGUUGACAGGAAUAAAACAGCUUGCUCAGGAGUAAUUGAGUGGAAUUAGAAUGAACAGACAAGAAAGAAAAAUUGGUGCUUGGGUCACAAGGAACUUUUUGUUGGGAACGCCCUGGGGGAUUUGGUGGGAUGUGGCCCCGCUGACUAAUCACCAGUAUAGAAAGUUUACAGUCUCUCCACCAUGCCAGCGUCUUUAAUAACUUGAAAAGCACAAGAGGUGGCUGUUAAUUUCAAAGACAGUUAUAUGAAGCUUUUAUUGAGUGUGGCGCAGAGUAUAUAGUUAGCAGCCUGUGAGAUAAUGAACCCUUUAAAUAGGGUUUUCAAAAACAAAACCAUCUUAUUUUUGCUUGAGCCAAAAGAACAGCAAUGUUCUCCUGUUAUUUGAAAGCCGAAAAAAUAUAUAUAAAGUAGGAUCUCUCCAUUGCACACGAGAAGAGUCGCUUUCUUCACCAAGGGCGUGUGCCAUGCCAUGGAACCAUGGACACUUAGAGGGACUCAGCUGACCUUGCCAGGACAUACCUUUGCCGGGAAGCAAGCAGAUAGGGGAGGAAGGGGUUAAAUGUGAUGGCUGCCACCCUCAUGAGCAUUGGCUCCUGGGCCUUCUCUCCCUGACCUGGGCUGACAAUACUGGGAAGAGGUGGGGCCCCCUCUGGCCCCCCAGUGUCAUGAAGUGAGUAAACCAGAGAUCAAACCAGUGGCUUCUUGAAUUUAAAGAGAUAAAGAACCAACCUGUGAAAAAAGCAGGACUCCACAUGCCUCCCCUGGGCGUUCUGGGGCUGGAGACAGCGGGCCGGGAGCAGGGUGGGCAGACAUUGCCUGUCCAGUCUAGAACCACUUAGGAUGGCCUGCUCUGACCUCUUGACGAGGCACGUGAGGAAUGGACGCGGUGAAGUGAGCCGUUGAUGGGCCUGGAAUCUCCAAGCCACUGUGACCGGGGACCCUGACUUCACCCCCUGGCAACAUCUAUGAUUUUGACCCAUGGAGUACCUUGUGCUUUUAUCAUUGUCUCUCCCUCUUUCCCUCCCUUCCUCUCCUCCUCUUCUCCAUCUCUCUUCCUCCUUCCCUCCCUCUUCCCUCCCCUCCCCGACCCCGACUGCGCUAGAUGUAUACGUGCGUGAAGAGACUGAGAUGGAGAAAUCGGUCCAGCCCACUUUAGAAGUCAUCUGUUUUUCCCUCACCCUAUCAUUCUUGCAUUCGAUGUUCAUUAACCCCUUGCCAAGAACAGGGCUUCCAAGUGUGAGCGAGGCAGACAUGGCUCCCCUCCCCCUCCCUCUACCCCCAACACACAGGCGAGUCCUACCUGGCCCAGCUGGCAGUGGUCAGGGGCAGUGCUGAUGGACAGGACAGGUGCUACCCCGACUGCAGGACCCGGUGGGCCUGUUGCUGGUCUUUGCUGUGCCCCUCCUUCAUUCCACGGUGGGUCUGUUGUGACAAGGGCUUUGCCCAUAGGACCCCCUGGGCUGAGGAACAAUGCCACCAAAUCUGACUGACCAAGGACUGCAAAACAAAACAAAGAAACAGGGCUUCUCUCAGCCAGUCCUGGGGAGCAAAUAAUGUAAACAAAAAGAUUAAUUAAAGGAGAAUGAAUUAUUUCCUGCCUCAGCACUGGCAACAAGCAGAAUCUAAGAACUUAAUUCAGUCUUGUUAUUAGCAACAUAUACCCUGCUUUUUUUUUUUUUUUUAAGACACACUUCUGUCCCUCACGUGAUAUGGGGAAUUUAGCCAUUUCCAGGAGUUUUUUCUGCAAAACAUGCAUCAAGUUGGAUCUCUUCCCGAGCUGUAAAUUCUUGCCAGCCCAGGAAAACUCCUUCUAGAAGCUUUUGGGAUCUGGUGAGCCCUGAAGGAAAACUCCCAGCCUCACUCCUUUCCAGCAGUUUGGGAACAUGCUGGAGCUGCGUCUGUGGGAGUCUGGAAUGCUUGCUUAGGAAGGCCCUUUGUUGGCCGCAUCGCCUUGGAGCCACUUGCAGAUUCCCGCUGGUCUAGGAUGUAUCAAGAAGCCAGAGAACAACCUUGUUUUAGGAAAAGAGGGAACUGCUUCUUCUAACGCUGUCAGGAAGCAAAACAGUCAAAUUUUCUUUUCCGGAGGUCUGAACAGAGGCACGGAUAUUUGAAUGAAUGCACUUUUAAAGUCUCAAUGCUCUAAUUGCCAGUGGUCCCCAGUCCUUGCGGUGUCGUAGAAGCACCUGAGAAUGAGUCAGAAUAUGAGCUGCUCUUCUCCAUGUCCUGUCUCCCCCACAGGAAGCUUCUUGUGUGGUACCUAGGAAUCUGGAUUUUCAAGAAACUCCGUAAGUGAUCGCUGUGCAACCAGUACAGUGCCACCACCCAUGAAGUGACGGCAAUUACUGUCACCUAGGGGCUGCCCACAUGGCAGGGACAGCAGAAGGAGCUAAGAUUGAGAUGUUCUGGAGAAGCUCUUUCUUAGGAAAGGUGAUCUUGGGGGUUCGGUUAGGCAAGGGAGAGAGAGAACGUUCAGUCCGGGGUGCUCCUGAGUCAAAGCCAACCAUCACCUUCUUAAGGAUGUCAGCUUGCUGACUCGCCAUCCUGGGUAGCUUAAUGGGCCCCCAGCAGCCCCCAGAGAGGAGGUCAGCUGGAAGACGAGUGCUGGAAAUACCAGCACGUGACAAAUACCUCUGCUGGAGAGCACUGGUGAGAUUCCCUGAGGACGCCCUGUGAAUCACCCUGAGUGGCAAGGCCAAGGUCAAGAGGUGGGUGUUUCUGGUCAACCCGAGGCUUCACAAAAUCAUUUCCUUUUGCCUUCACUUCAGACCUCACCUGUCAAUGUGGCUUCUGCCAGGUACGCAUGUGCUUUCUGCCCAAGGCUCCUCGAGCUGCCCAGUGCUCACACAGCCAGGGUGCGAACAAGCCUGUACUGAGCCAUCCCUUUGGGUUAGAAUGAAUGCUCGAGAAAAGCAGGAGGCAUUUCUGACCUUUUUGGAGUUUCAGUAAUCUCCCCUACAAGCAUUUGACUAUGAAUCUUCUGGGCAAGGAAGCAGCUUGCUUCCUGAUGUAGAGCCCACUUUUCCACAGGGAAAGAAAUAGCUUGUGAGCUCGUAUCCAGGGUUUGCCCUUUUUAACAGCAAAACACAGUUACGUGACCAUUCAGAGCUUCUCUUCUAGCCAACAUGGGGCGUGGAUGUCUGAAGUGGACAGGCUACCUGUGCCUCGAGCCCCGGGUGGGUCAGAACCAUGAUGGGAUCCGCCUUGGCCUCUGGGAAGAUGGCUCUAUGCCACCGGGUACUCAGGAAGCUGGGGACAAUGCGACACCAGUCCAUCAACAACUAUCUACUGAGCCCCUGCCAUUGUCAGACACUCUUCCGGACUGUGUGUCUUACGAAUUGACUUUGAGAGCA